UCUAAGACCCAAAUACUACUGGGAAACCGAAUGGGUAGCUACCCUUCUGCCUGUGACCGUUGCGCUUCUCCAGAUGGCGGAAAACGCCUGUAUCUAGGGAAUCAUUAAUACUUUAUGACUAUUAAUUCACCUGCAGCUAUCCAUGACUUACCCUUCCCUCAUAUUCUACCAUUAAUAUAAUAAAAUGUUUUUAAUAGUCAUUAUCAGCAUAAAAAACAACGAAUCUUUAUUAUCUUCUCUCAACAAACACCAACCCUAAACCCAUUUGAAAAAAAAUGACGAAAAAUUGAACACCAAAGCUCCAGAACCACGGAUGAACAUAAACAAAUUUCAACAAGCAAACAGAACACCAACAAGAUAGUAAUCGAUGCAAAACACAAACAAACCAAAAAGCUCAUCCCCAAUCCACACCCUUGAACCCCGAUUUCAUGAUUUCUAAGGUAUUACAUGUACAAUCAAAAUAACCGAAGGAAAAGAAACACAAUACAAUAUCAUUUAAACAAAGUUCUACCGAGUUCAGAUGAUACCGAGAUGACUCACAGGGUGUACCUGCUCAAGUUUCAUCUUGAAUGACAGCAAGCAUUGACUCCUGUCCCUUUUUCUUUUGCUGUGCAGUUCCUAACUGAUGAAGAAUGCAACAAUGAUUGCGACUUUCUUGAAUUCAGAUCUAACCGUGAAAAUUGGUAUGCCUGUUAGUGAGUUAUAUUGUUAUGGCAACUGUUACGCAUGGGGAUGUUGAUCUUACUGUCAACUGUGUUUCGAGUGAUAUGGUAAUCUUGUCUUGAAUGGUUUCCUUUUGUUUUCUUUUGAUUUAUCGCAUGUCCCUGGAGUAUCCGGAGAGAAUGAAUGGAAGAAGUAGUCUUGGAGGUUACCACGGUUGAGUAGAAUGCAUCUGCAAGCUCUGAAGCUUUUUCCCCUGUAAUGGUAUGGUCUUGUAAUCAUCCUUGCCUUGCGCCAUUUCCAUCAUGAUGAACUGUAUUGGUUGUUCAUUGGCUUUGUUCACUUCGGUCAUCGCUUUAAUCACGUCCUGAACCAUGACUUGUGAUUCCUUUCGGUGUGCUUGUGGUAUAUCGGUCUUUUCCAUAUGAUUCUAAGCGAAAUGGUUAAGCGGUAGCUAUAUUGUUUCGUUGACUUCUUUGGGUGAAUUGCAAGUUUUGCGCUUGGAAUUGCUGCGGUGGUCUUGCCGUUUGUGGCAGUUUUGCAGGUUGCAGCUUAUGCUUUAGAAGCGCUGCAGUGUUUGUCGGAUGUUUUCCAUUGCAGCCUUAAAUCCACUUAAUCGUAUGGUGUUAGGGGUGGGAUCUUGAGAGUAAAGCCUCCAUCGGUUCAAUAUAUAAUAAUUGUUAUUGGAAUGGAAUGAAAAUCUUGCAGCCUUGGGUUUUGAAUGCAUUUGAGAAUAGUGGCUUGGAGUCACUUGGUGGAUGUAUUCAGUUUAACACACUGUAAUGAGUUGUUGCAUAUAAUAUGAUGCGUAGGGCCUCUUGAAUGGUUUAGUUUCAAAUUUGUAAUUGGGUUUUGGUUAAUGUAAAUGAGUGGACUUUUUAUGUGAUUUUGAUAGGAUGGAUGAGUUGUAUGGAAUUUCUGAAAAUUGAAUUGUGAUUGUGUGAUUUUUUUUAAGGGUGCGUGAAAUCGUUUUGUGAAGUGAACUGUAAAUAGAAAAUGGUUAUGG